CCCCCAUCCCGUCCUCUUCCAUCCAUCCUCCUUUCCUCAUAUCGUUUUGGUAGUGUAUGUAUACACACGAACUUUGGUACUAUGCCUGGGAGCGUUAUUUUAAGAUGACGGUUUUUGUGUUCGUUGAGAGUUGUGAGGUGUUAUUCAUGUUGUUUACGUAAGGUCCUUGGUUCUUGGCAAGCGUCCAUAGCGAUGGGGAAGUAAUUCAUGGCGGAGGACUCGUGAAUCGGUUGAUAACAAUCAAUGUCAACACCACAGUUGGAUUAAUCUCAAUGCGUGAACAAACACAGCCCAGAAUGAUCGCUGCCCUGCUGCAUUCGACAGACUCUCUGGUACCGCUUGCGCAUGUUUCUGGCACACGCACAGUCGUGAGCAAAUUGAGUUUGCCAGUCCAGUCCAACUAACCACAGUCAUGUUGUGUUCAUUCGUCCACCUUAGGCCUAUGUACAGUACCGUAUGAUGAUGAUAUUUCUUUGCAGAAUGUGCGUGCGUUUGUGUGCGCGCGCGUGUGUGUGUGUGACUCGUAGCAUCUGAUUCUAUCUUCCUGGAGUUUCUCUUGUUAAGACCCAUACCAUUUCCGAGUAAGCGUGUUGUUGUUUUCUGUUUUUAGAGGGAUGUGAGUGUUCACUGGAGUGAGCUGUAUUCUUUAUUCUGAAGUGUAUCUACGAAAUACUUCCUCCUUGUGCUUCUUCAGUAAGUGGGAGUGCUUACGUUGUUAUGUAAGCUUAAUUUCCCCCCUGGUUCCUCUUUGGAUAAGGAGUCGUAAAUCUUAAUUGGGUCACAAAUCACUGUUCAAGGGAAGUGUCCCAAAAGCUGAUGCGGGAUAAGUGAAAAAUUUCCGUGCGCACCGUUUUGCUUAGGAGAAUCGCAAAGGAGAAAGAGGUCACGACCUUUCUUUGGGAGAAGGAGAACGUCUCGAAUCGAUACUCUCCAAAUUGAACCGUUCCAGAGUCUUCGCCCCAGGACCUUGGCUUGAUCUGUUGCGUCACGCAAUUCCAUAGAAAAUACCCAGAUCUAGUUAAGUCAUCUUGAAUUUCGUGGAACAUUUAUUAAUCUACAAUUUAUAUAUAUACAACCGUCUCAGAUUUGCCCUCAGGGCAGAAAGUUUUGCUCCGUCUUCAGAUGAAUAAUUUGAUCUCAGAAUUUGCCAUCUAGAUCUACAGGCUUACUCAUUCUUCCCUUAACUGUAUGCUUCAGUGAAUAUUACGUCCAACCGUCGAAGAUCGGAAUUGAUAGAAUUCAUACAUCCUCUGUUGUGACCAGUUAUUUUCCUCUAAAUAAAUUCAUAUUUAGAUUGACACUCGUGGAUGGAAGGAAAUAAGUUUAGAUCAACACAUCUUUACUGGAAAGAAUCCUAACACGAAAGUUAUUUCUGAAGAGUGAUAUGGAACUAUUCUUUUACACGUAAAUAAGAUAGCAUCUGUUGAAAAACAACGACAACAACAAAAACAAACAAAUCAACAAUAACAACAACAACAAAACGGCCACCACCACCACCACCAACAACAACA